rnacentral:lncRNA from 1 species
GCCAAGGAGCAAUAUAACCCCAGGGAUAGAGAUGGGAAAAGGAAAAGGGAAGGGACUCCCCUAAAGGAAAUCACCAGCCCCUGACUCAGUCCAUCUCCCAGGCUAACUGGGAGCUACUGGAUACAGGCAUCAGGAAGGUGAUGUGAAAGAAGCCGCAGGUGAAAGAGAAGAUGAACGCAGAGCACCUGAGCAGGUGGGGAGCCUCGGAUUCGUUGGAAGGCACAUUCUUGGAAGAAUAGGUGGGCUUCAACCGAAUGUCGUCCUAACAGAAUCAGGGCUCACCUUGGUAUAUGUUGUGAGUUUUUAGAGAAGCCUGGAUUUUAAAGCAGUCUGGAUUUUUUUAUUUGUAUAAACUUAUUGGGUACAAGUGCAACUUUUGUUCCAUGCAUAGAUUGUGUAAUGUGUAAGUCAGGGUGUUUGGUGUAAUAACUAAGCAUUUCAGUAAUUUCUCAUCAUCCAACCCCCUCUCACCCCCUCACUUUUCUGAGUCUCCAUUGUCUAUGAUUCAACUCUCUGUGUCCAUGUGUGCACAUUUUUUAGCUCCAUUUUAGGAGUGAGAACAUGCAAUAUUUGUCUUUCUGUAUUUGACUUGUUUCACUUCAGAUAAUGGCCUCCAGUUCCAACCAUGUUGCUGCAAAAGACAGGAUUUCAUUUAUUCUUAUGGCGAAUAGUUUUUAUUGUGUGUAUGUACCAUUUAUAUUUCCUUUUUUUUUGAGAUGGGGUCUUGCUCUAUAACCCAGGCUGGAGUGUGGUGGAGUGAUCACAGCUCACUGCAGCCUCAACUUCCCAGGCUCAAACAAUCCUCCCAUCUCAGCCCCGCAAGCAGCUUGGAACACGGGCACGCACCACCAUGCCCAGCUAAUUUUUUUUUUUUUUAGAGAAUGAUUUCCCUUUGUUGACCAGGCUGGUCCCAAACUCCUGAGCUCAAGCAAUCCUCCUGCCUUGGCUUCUCAAACUGCAGGGAUAACAGGCGUGAGCCACUGUACCCAGCGACCAUUUAUAUUUCUUGAUGUUUAUAUGUUGUCACCUAAUUUAAAAAACUAUUUGGUCUAGUGUGUGGGGGCCACACUGUAAUCUAUAGGUCAAAUGUAGCCAUGAGUGCCCAAGUUUUCAUCUCACAAUGCUGAAACUUGAUUCAGUUGACCUAGAAAAGCCUGAAUUCAGCUUACGAAAGAUAUUUGUGCCAAAAUAGAAUGUAAGAAAGUAUAAGAUGUAGGGGUAGCACAGGUCCCAGAUGAGUCCUCCCCUACUUGUCUACCAAAUGAUGUCUUAAGCCAACAGUUCUCAAAGUAUAGGCUAUGGGCCCUUGAGAGUCCCAGAGACCCUUUUAUGGUGUAUUUGUUUCUAUUUCUAAAUUUUCGAUUCAUGUCAAACAAAUUACUGCAAACUUUUUGGCUUAACACAGCAUACAUUUAUGGUCUCACAGUUUCCAUGGGUCAGGAGUCCAGGUAAAAUGUGAAGAGUCCCUGUUCUGGGUCUCCCAAGGCCACCAUCAAUAUGUUGGCAGGUCUGCCUACUGGAUAUUCCAGGGGAAAGCCAUGUGUAGCCUGAUUCAUGUUGUUUGCAGAAUUCAGUUUCAUGCAGUCAUAGGACUACAGUCCUGUUCCCAUGCUGGGUGUUGGUCCAAGGCUGUUUUCCACUUCUAGUUAGUUCUAGCAUCUUCUAGUUGCUGCCUAUCUUCCUUGGCUAUGACCUCCUCCAUCUCCAAAGCCAGCAACAGUGGGUGAAGUUCUCAUGUUUCAAACUUUCUGAGAUCUGUUCUCCUCUCCUGUCCACAGCUCCUGUAGUGAGACUGGGCACAUCCAGGCCAUCUACUCUUUUUACUGUCCACAUAACACAAUCCAGGAAGUGAAAUUUCAGCAUGUUUGCAGAUCCUAAGGACUCAACUGUGGAACCAUGGAGGCUGCCCAUAGAAAUUCCAGCUAUGCACAAGGGUGCUGUGCAUCAAGACUAAUUUUAUAGUAAUGAUAAGUCAUCACCUUUUUAUUAACACUAUGUUGCCAUUUGCCCUCGGAAGCAGUCACAGUGAAUUUGCCCACCCCUUAGAAGCAAGAAUCAAGUCGGUAACACCAAACUGAACUCAAUGAAUUCUCCGUGGCCACAACCCAUGAUUUAAGAAAAUGCUAAAUGUCUUUGAUAAAGAGUCAAAAUGUAUCAAUUUAUUAAAUCUCAAUCCUUGCAUCCCAUCUUGUAAUACUGAAAAAUGAAAUGAGAAGUUUGCCUAAAGCAUUUGUUGCAAGGUAAAGCACUUACAGAACAGUUUGAGAGGCAAAUUGAACUACCUGCUUUUUCAUGAAUACUUAACGGAAUGACCCAGUUGCUUAUUGCGGGUAUUAAUAUUUGACUAUUUAACUGGCAUUUUGUUUAAUUAGUAUAAAAGUUCUUAUCAAAAGAAAACAACUGACAGUAUUUACUGCCAAUGAUAAAAAUUGAGCCUUCAAGUUUAAUUUAGUAUUUUGGAAAAGAACUAUCAAUCCACAUCAGCUUAAAUACUUCUUAAUAUUUCAGAGAUUUUUUAAGACCUGUGGUGAUAUUUAACAAAUGUGAUUUUAAAAAAUAUUCUACAAUAAAAUAUACCAUGUUUUAAAGAUCUGUAGACCUAACUAAACCAGUAUCUUCCAAAUGACCAAAAUUAUGCAUAGGUAAAGAUCCUUUGAAAUUUACAAGAUAGACCAAAAUAAGAACAAUAAAUGAGAAGCUUGUUGAUAUUGUUAUAUUUUCUACAUUGCAGUUCAACUUUGAGAAACUAUGAUUUGCUGAGUUUUGGUGUAAUAUUAAAGAAGAAUAGCCACAAUUUUCUAGGCAAGCUACAUAUACUUCUCCCUCUUUCAGAUACAUAUCUGUGUGAGACCAAAUUUUCCUUAUAAAUUUCUACUAAAAUUACAUAUUUCAAUGGAAGAAAUGCAGAAGCAGAUGAGAAUCCAUCUGUCUUCUUUAUGACAGAUAUUAAUAGAUUUCAAAUGGAAAACAAUGCCACUUCUCUAACUGCUACUUUCUUUUAAUAAAAAUAGUCACUUUUCAUCAAAUAAGCUGAUGUCAACAAUUAGUUAUUAUUGCUAUUUUAAAAUAUAUUAAUAAAUAUAUAUUUUACAUUUAUUUUUAAAUUUUGAAUACAGUAUUUAUUAAUAAGUAUAAUCUUCAAAAACAGAAAUUGCUUGGUGUUCUAAGUAACUUUUAAGACCAGAAAGUGUCCUGAGACUAAAAUAUUUCAAAAGUGGUACCUGAAACCCAUUAGACCUCUCACACUAACUUAAUAACCAAUAAGCUACUCUCUCUUCCAGGAAUUCUUCUCAACAAAUUCCUCUCAACUUCUUGCAAAUAGCCAACUCUUUGCGGAUAGUCAAGACUCAUCUUUUACAUUUUAUUCUGCAGAAAGCCUCCUGUGAUGGUUAAUAUUGAGUAUUAACUUGAUUUGGCUGAAAGGAUGCAAAGUAUUCUUCCUGGGUAUGUCUGCGAGGGUGUUCUCAAAGGAGAUUAACAUUUGAGUCAGUGGACUGAGAGAGGCAGACCCACCCUUAAUCUGGGUGGGCACCAUCCCCUUGGUUGCCAGCGUGGUUAGAAAAAGCAGACAGAAGAAAGUGAAUGAGCAGACUUGCUGAGUUUUCCAGCCUUCAUCUUUCUCCUGUGCUGGAUGCUUCCUGACCUGGAACAUCAGACUCCAAGUUCUUCAGCUUCUGGACUCUUGGAUUUACACCAGUGAUUUGCCAGGGCAUCUUGGGCUCUUGGGCCUUCAGCCACAGACAGAAGGCUGCACUGUCAGCUUCCCUACUUUUGAGGUUUUGGGACUUGGACUGGCUUCCUUGCUCCUCAGCUUGCAGAUGGCCUAUUGUGGAAUUUCACCUUAUGAUCGCAUGAGUCAAUUCUCCUUAAUAAAUUCCCCUUCAUAUAUA